rnacentral:rRNA from 1 species
CCUACGGGUGGCAGCAGUCGAGAAUCAUUCACAAUGGGGGAAACCCUGAUGGUGCGACGCCGCGUGGGGGAAUGAAGGUCUUCGGUUUGUAAACCCCUGUCAUGUGGGAGCAAAUUAAAAAGAUAGUACCACAAGAGGAAGAGACGGCUAACGCUGUGCCAGCAGCCGCGGUAAUACAGAGGUCUCAAGCGUUGUUCGGAAUCACUGGGCGUAAAGCGUGCGUAGGCUGUUUCGUAAGUCGUGUGUGAAAGGCGCGGGCUCAACCCGCGGACGGCACAUGAUACUGCGAGACUAGAGUAAUGGAGGGGGAACCGGAAUUCUCGGUGUAGCAGUGAAAUGCGUAGAUAUCGAGAGGAACACUCGUGGCGAAGGCGGGUUCCUGGACAUUAACUGACGCUGAGGCACGAAGGCCAGGGGAGCGAAAGGGAUUAGAUACCCCAGUAGUC